rfam:Larimichthys crocea isolate SSNF unplaced genomic scaffold scaffold101, whole genome shotgun sequence.
CCAAAGGUCCUUUUAAGGGCCACUCACUUUACUUAAAGAGCUGAC